GAAACAGAGGGCAUCGAAGAGACAGAGGCGAGAGAGAACUUCAGCAAAACAGAGACAAUAAAAUUUCAGCAAAAGUGAUAUCUGUGCAAUAAGGGGACAAUAAAAUUCUAUUUAUAGGUCAUAGUUCCAAAAUUUUAAAAAAAAGGGUGGUAUUUUCAAUUACAAUUAUAAAAAUGGUGGCAUUUUGGGCUAUUUCUCUUUUUUUUUUUUUUCUGCAGCACAGUUAAUUGACGAAACUGCCCUUGACUAAUCAGUUUCUUUUGUUCCCGUUUUUGCCCCUCCCCCUUCGUUGAGAGGGUUUCGUCCGCUGAGAGAAACCAUUGUCUCCCGUUCGUUUCCAACCAGCUGGUUGGGGGGCAGCCAUGGAAGAGCUGUGUUCGUUGCUGGACAUGCGUUGGAGGCCGUCGAUUUUUGUUUGGGAGGUGAGCUGCAAAUCCAGCCGUGCUUUCAGUCUUCGUGUCACAGAUUUGGGAUCGGGAGAUUUCAUCUUUUCUACAACCUUCGACUCAGGCUUCCAUCUUUCUUGCUUCGACUCAGGUUUCCAUCUUUCUUGCUUCGACUCAGGCUUCCAUCUUUCUUGCAUCCUUUGUUUUCAGGUGCUGUCUAACUACUUUUUGGACUGUUUGAUAGCUCUUCCCAUUGCUGUUAGGCAACAGUUUCCACCAGUACCAGGUUGUUUGGAGGAAGCUCCCUACGGCAUUUGAUGAGCUCCCUCAGAUUUACGGAAUGAAGCUCUGGGCAUAAUCGUUCAGCUCAGCUUAUGUGAUCCCAAAUCUUCAUCGGUGAAUUUUGCAUUAGACUUAAUAUUGUGGUAAGUGCUUGCCAUUAAUGAGUUGCUAGGGACUGGAAUCGAUACGCAGGAUACAUCUCCUUCAGUGUUGUUAUUCUUUGACAAGCAAAGAUUUAUAUUUAAUGUUGGAGAGGUGGUCUUUUGUUGCUUUGGAUAGAGCGGUUUGGUUGGUGUUUUCAGUUCUGUUAAGUAAGGGGUGAGUUUCUAGGCUGAAAUUUCAAUUAAUUGUUUCAAGUUUUGUGAAUAGAGCAUAGAAAUUAGCUAAUGGCAUCAAUUGACAAUUGGUUGGUAUUAAUUUUUUGUUGUAAUGAUAGGUUUAGAUGAUUACAAUAUUUGAACAUGUUGGUAAACCCUUUGAGUGUUUUGGCAAUUGGGUAGUUGAGAUGUUCCCUGCCUAUUUUCAUCGCUUUAUACACAUUUGACGCAAUUUUAAAACCCGCAGCAUCGCGCGGGCACCUUUUGCUAGUAUAUACUAAAACUGAAUCCCGAUUACUGUUCCUGGACUGUUCAUUCGCAAUAGUGAAGUGACGGUUUUGCCCCCGCUUAAGUGAUGGUCUGCUUUCUUGAGUUGACUUAUGAGCAGUGAAUUAGCCGUUUUGCCCUCCAGCUCUGUUCUCUUCUCUUCGUUGGAGUCGCUGAGAGAAGGAAAACCUCUUCUCCUUCCUCGCAGCCCUGCCUUUCUCUCUCUUCUUUUCCAGUGAAAUGACUUGGUUAAUUAGUUUCUACUCUUCCCGUUUGCUCUCCUCUCCUUCGUUCGCUUCUAACCAGGUUGGUUGGCCUGGUUGCGUGGCAAUGAUGGAAGAGGUUGGUUUACUGUUGGAGAUUAUCUGGAGGCUUCAACUUUAUAGGAGUGGCGUGCGUUCAGAUCGAACUCCAGCUUUCUCUCUGUUUCAGUCUCUUUCUCUCACUGAUCUCUGCUAGGGACUGGAAUGGAUACGCAGGAUACAUCUCCUUCAGAGUUGCUUUUCUUUAACAAGCAAAGAUUUAUAUUUAAUGUUGGAGAGGUGGUCUUUCGUUGCUUUGGAUAGAGCAGUUUGGUUGGUGUUUUCAGUUCUGUUAAGCAAGGGGUGAGUUUCUAGGCUGAAAUUUCAAUUAAUUGUUUUAAGUUUUGUGAAUAGAGCAUAGGAAUUAGCUAAUGGCAUCAAUUGACAAUUGGUUGGUGUUAAUUUGUUGUUAUAAUGAUAGGUUUAGAUGAUUACAAUAUUUGAACAUGUUGGUAAAUCCCUUGAGUGUUUUGGCAAUUGGGUAGUUGAGAUGUUCCUUGCCUAUUUUCAUCGCUU